rnacentral:rRNA from 1 species
AUACAUGCAGUCGAACGCUUUUUCUUUCACCGGAGCUUGCUCCACCGAAAGAAAAAGAGUGGCGAACGGGUGAGUAACACGUGGGUAACCUGCCCAUCAGAAGGGGAUAACACUUGGAAACAGGUGCUAAUACCGUAUAACACUAUUUUCCGCAUGGAAGAAAGUUGAAAGGCGCUUUUGCGUUCACUGAUGGAUGGACCCGCGGUGCAUUAGCUAGUUGGUGAGGUAACGGCUCACCAAGGCAACGAUGCAUAGCCGACCUGAGAGGGUGAUCGGCCACACUGGGACUGAGACACGGCCCAGACUCCUACGGGAGGNAGCAGUAGGGAAUCUUCGGCAAUGGACGAAAGUCUGACCGAGCAACGCCGCGUGAGUGAAGAAGGUUUUCGGAUCGUAAAACUCUGUUGUUAGAGAAGAACAAGGAUGAGAGUANAACGUUCAUCCCUUGACGGUAUCUAACCAGAAAGCCACGGCUAACUACGUGCCAGCAGCCGCGGUAAUACGUAGGUGGCAAGCGUUGUCCGGAUUUAUUGGGCGUAAAGCGAGCGCAGGGGUUUCUUAAGUCUGAUGUGAA